UACGGGGGGGGCAAGCGUUGUUCGGAAUUACUGGGCGUAAAGGGCUCGUAGGCGGCCAACUAAGUCGGAUGUGAAAUCCCCAGGCUUAACCUGGGAAUUGCAUCCGAUACUGGAUGGCUUGAAUCCGGGAGAGGGAUGCGGAAUUCCAGGUGUAGCGGUGAAAUGCGUAGAGAUCGGGAGGAACACCAGUGGCGAAGGCGGCUACCUGGACCAGCACUGACACUGAGGCACGAAAGCGUGGGGAGCAAACAGG
rnacentral:rRNA from 1 species